rnacentral:rRNA from 1 species
AUUGAACGCUGGCGGCAUGCUUUACACAUGCAAGUCGAACGGUAACAGGCCGCAAGGUGCUGACGAGUGGCGAACGGGUGAGUAAUGCAUCGGAACGUGCCCAGUCGUGGGGGAUAACUACUCGAAAGAGUAGCUAAUACCGCAUACGAUCUAUGGAUGAAAGCGGGGGACCGUAAGGCCUCGCGCGAUUGGAGCGGCCGAUGUCAGAUUAGGUAGUUGGUGGGGUAAAGGCUCACCAGGCCAACGAUCUGUAGCUGGUCUGAGAGGACGACCAGCCACACUGGGACUGAGACACGGCCCAGACUCCUACGGGAGGCAGCAGUGGGGAAUUUUGGACAAUGGGCGCAAGCCUGAUCCAGCAAUGCCGCGUGCAGGAAGAAGGCCUUCGGGUUGUAAAAUGCUUUUGUACGGAACGAAACGGCUCUGGUUAAUACCCGGGGCUAAUGACGGUACCGUAAGAAUAAGCACCGGCUAACUACGUG